GACUCAUGCCAAACACUGUGAUCUAGUCUGCAGCUGUGCUGUUUCUUCCACUUGGCCAGCCACACUACUUUUCUUUUACUGGAGUGAGCAGAGGAAUGAAGCCAACUCCACUCCCAUACCUGGUUGUUGCGGUAUUUCCAUUUGUUGGCUGAUCUGGACGGAAGGUCCUAGGAGCAUUGAGGACCCACUCCACGAGGACAGCAGAGGCAUAAGAUGAAAGAACAUCUACCCCAAAUAUACAUAAAGAGCAGAAACAUGCAGGCGAGUGGCCUCUUAUGUCAGCAUGAAAAUAAAUGUUACGGCCUGAGGAGGAACAAGCCUCUCUAAGCAUCUUUUAAAAGAAGAAUGAGUCCAAGUGGAUUUCUCUGUUACACUCCAUUACCAACAGAAGAGUGCUGUGGCCAUGACAGAAACCACUUGGUCCUUGGAGAUGCCAGAGUACAUGUCUGCACCCUUAUUUCAUGAGUGGAUUUCCUGGGAAUGCGGAUAAAGUCACACAGCAUCUGGAAGAGUGGCGAACAUCUACUGAGCUAAUGCUUCAUGUGAGCUAGUUCAAGUCUCUUCUUUACCUGGGGCUGCUGCUAAACUCCUGGGGUCUCCUCCAGUGGAAAGCUUGGGAAAGGCAGUCUCUAUCCACACCAUGAAUGUUAUUCUCCUGGUCACUGAAGUCAAUUCAUCUCAUCUAACAGAUGGGAGGAAAAAUCACCAGGCAAUACAUAUAUUUCUCCUGCACCAGAAAGAUCUCUGUGCCACAACCCUGCCAUCUGUUGUCCUGAAUGUGGGUGUAUGGCACACCCUACAGCGAAGGAUCCUGGGAAACAUAUCUCUAUCGAUAUCACAGAAGAACAAGGGUGAGGUUGCUGAGCACAUAGCUGCCUCUGAUGAGGUUGUGCACUAUUAUGUGCACCCUGUAAUUACUGUUGGGGAAAAGAGACAGAACUCCUGGCUCUGUGUGGUUUGACAGCAAGCAGUCUGGAAGGAUGGAGGGCAUGCUUAGAUGGACUUCUAGAGAGCAUGUGUGGAGGAGACCAGAGGAAAACAUAAAGGGGUUGGUUCUCACCUUCCACUAAGUGGUUCCAGGCACUUUGAGAACCACUGUGCUCUACAGCAUUCCUUCUUCAGAAUCCUACAAGGGAGCUACUACUAAUGCACCCAUUUCCUGGUGAAAAACUGAGGCCCAGCUCAAUAAGAUGAUCCCACUGCAAACUUUGCAACACGUGAGGCUCUGUCUCUAAUUGAGUCAUUUCUGCAGGUGUGCUGUGCUGGGCUGCACAAUCCCACCCUAUAACAAAUGCAAACUGACAUUGCUUCUGUAUGAAGGGUGUUGGGAGACAAAACCCUAGGAAGAGCUGAGGCUUGCAAAAAAAAAAAAAAAAAAAAAAAAAAAAAAAAAAAACACGUGAAGGACAUGGUUUUUAACAAGGGCUUUCUGAGCUAAGUUCGGAGGGAGAGGAAAGGGAAGAGAUUGGGAAGCGGUGAUGCAAUUCGGCCAGAUGACCAUGGAAAGCAGAAGGUCUCUGGCCUCCAGCUUCUGCCAUGAGAAACAGACCCCAGAGCUGGCAUGCUCACCGUGGAAAGAGAACAUAAGCACUAACUUUGGAAUGGAAGCUCAGGGCUCCUGUACGUAAUUAGGGGAUUAGCAACUCAGUUCACUACAAGGACAGUCUUGUAAAGAAUGACUGAAGUCUGCAGAUGUGGCCAUGGGCUGUCAUGUGAGAGGACUAGCUUCAUCCCACUCCAAUGUGUCAAGACCUAUGAGUGCAAAUAGAGCAGCACUUCCUUAUAUUGAUAUCCGCCCCUCCCCCAGCCCUUAAUAUGAAAGACCCCACUGUCAACUUGAGAAUAGCAAGGAUCUCUUUGUAGCUGACUCGUCUCUGCAGGGACAGUGUUCUUGAUAAACUAGAAUACAGAAAGAAUUAAAAACUCAGAAUUUCACAUGAUGGUAAGGAAUCAAGUUUUUCCCCAGGUCCCAUUCAGCUCUAGAUAAUUCUCUCUUUGAGGACUGAAUUCAGCUCUAGGAGGCCAUUUUGCAAAAUCUUCUCAAACUUAAUGUGGCUGGUUAAUGACUUAAGACUGCUACAAGAUGGAAUGCCAAAGAAUUGUCACCCAAGGGUCUGGGUGGAAUCCUGAAUUAGACCAGUUCUUGACUUGGAUUUCUAGAAAAGCCUAGACUUUUCCAGCUUGAAGUUUACCUACUUCAGUUGGCAUUCCUAUACAUCCUUCCUCAACCCCCUGCUAAAUACUCCCCUAAAGUUUAUGUAGAAAGACCUUUUUAUAUUUGUACACAGUUCUUUUGCUUUCAAACUUUGAAAAAGCCCAUCCUUUGGUGCCUGUAGACUGAGAUAAUAAAUA